UAAAAGAUGAUGACCCUCCAUUAUGCUUCAUCUUCAAGUUAUCAGGAGCGUUGCUGAAGAACAUACUUCUUGAAGUUGUUUUUCAAGAAGGAGAUGCUGCCUACCUGACCUUGUCAUUGACUUGCUCAAGCUUCAGGGACAUAGUUGGGGAUGACAAGUUCAAGAAUCAGGCACACUUCUUAUGGUUAGAAAGUGUUACAUGCUGGAAAAAAGUCAUCUCACUACAAACAGCUCUUCUGGAAGAUGUACUCAAUCUCCACUUGUUUGGAGUGUGGGUUUGAGUACAAAUGCUGCACACCUGGUUAUGCUGGGAAGGGGAAGGGAGGUGAGCUCCAGGGCAUUUAUUCAAAAACCUUCCACCCUGGAUUUUGCAGAUUUGACUGCAUGCAGAUCAAUUCUAAUGAGCUGAUAUAGUUUCCUUACAAAAACAAAAAAGACUAAAAAUAAUAAAAUAAAAUAAACACUUUUGCAAUCAA